AGCGUAGGCGGACUUUUAAGUGAGAUGUGAAGUACCCGGGCUCAACUUGGGUGCUGCAUUUCAAACUGGAAGUCUAGAGUGCAGGAGAGGAGAAUGGAAUUCCUAGUGUAGCGGUGAAAUGCGUAGAGAUUAGGAAGAACACCAGUGGCGAAGGCGAUUCUCUGGACUGUAACUGACGCUGAGGCUCGAAAGCGUGGGAGCAAACA
rnacentral:rRNA from 1 species